rnacentral:rRNA from 1 species
GAUGAACGCUGGCGGCGUGCCUAAUACAUGCAAGUCGAACGCUUUGUUGUUCAACUGAUUUGAAGAGCUUGCUCAGAUAUGACGAUGGACAUUGCAAAGAGUGGCGAACGGGUGAGUAACACGUGGGAAACCUACCUCUUAGCAGGGGAUAACAUUUGGAAACAGAUGCUAAUACCGUAUAACAAUGACAACCGCAUGGUUGUUAUUUAAAAGAUGGUUCUGCUAUCACUAAGAGAUGGUCCCGCGGUGCAUUAGCUAGUUGGUAAGGUAAUGGCUUACCAAGGCGAUGAUGCAUAGCCGAGUUGAGAGACUGAUCGGCCACAAUGGGACUGAGACACGGCCCAUACUCCUACGGGAGGCAGCAGUAGGGAAUCUUCCACAAUGGGCGAAAGCCUGAUGGAGCAACGCCGCGUGUGUGAUGAAGGGUUUCGGCUCGUAAAACACUGUUGUAAGAGAAGAAUGACAUUGAGAGUAACUGUUCAAUGUGUGACGGUAUCUUACCAGAAAGGAACGGCUAAAUACGUGCCAGCAGCCGCGGUAAUACGUAUGUUCCAAGCGUUAUCCGGAUUUAUUGGGCGUAAAGCGAGCGCAGACGGUUAUUUAAGUCUGAAGUGAAAGCCCUCAGCUCAACUGAGGAAUUGCUUUGGAAACUGGAUGACUUGAGUGCAGUAGAGGAAAGUGGAACUCCAUGUGUAGCGGUGAAAUGCGUAGAUAUAUGGAAGAACACCAGUGGCGAAGGCGGCUUUCUGGACUGUAACUGACGUUGAGGCUCGAAAGUGUGGGUAGCAAACAGGAUUAGAUACCCUGGUAGUCCACACCGUAAACGAUGAGUGCUAGGUGUUUGAGGGUUUCCGCCCUUAAGUGCCGCAGCUAACGCAUUAAGCACUCCGCCUGGGGAGUACGACCGCAAGGUUGAAACUCAAAGGAAUUGACGGGGACCCGCACAAGCGGUGGAGCAUGUGGUUUAAUUCGAAGCAACGCGAAGAACCUUACCAGGUCUUGACAUCCCUUGACAACUCCAGAGAUGGAGCGUUCCCUUCGGGGACAAGGUGACAGGUGGUGCAUGGUUGUCGUCAGCUCGUGUCGUGAGAUGUUGGGUUAAGUCCCGCAACGAGCGCAACCCUUAUUACUAGUUGCCAGCAUUCAGUUGGGCACUCUAGUGAGACUGCCGGUGACAAACCGGAGGAAGGUGGGGAUGACGUCAAAUCAUCAUGCCCCUUAUGACCUGGGCUACACACGUGCUACAAUGGCGUAUACAACGAGUUGCCAACCCGCGAGGGUGAGCUAAUCUCUUAAAGUACGUCUCAGUUCGGAUUGUAGGCUGCAACUCGCCUACAUGAAGUCGGAAUCGCUAGUAAUCGCGGAUCAGCACGCCGCGGUGAAUACGUUCCCGGGUCU